ensembl:snRNA U6 U6 spliceosomal RNA
CUAUUCCCUUUGGCAACAUAUAUACUAAAGCUGGAAUGUUCGAAAGAAGGUUAGCAUGGCCCCUGUACAAGUCAUUUAUGCAAAUUCUUGAAAUGUUUUAUUAAAAU